AGCUAAUCAGUGUUUUUGAUGUGAACAUGUAUCUUCAUUUCAUGAGUCUGACUCUACUGCGAGGUCUCCUAAUUCAUUGGAUUUAUUAUUCCUUUGCAGCAAAUGCAGACACUAUUUAGGAGCUAUCUUCAAGAUAUGCUUGUCCUUGUGAAGAAGGAGAAUGCAGAGGGAGAAGCAUUGGGAGCUUUGCCUCUAUAACAACGAACCAUUCCUUGAGGUUUGCAGUCUCUUGUAGUUACUGGCUGUUGAAGCAAUCUUCUUCAUUUUUCUUUUUAUGUCCAAUGAUGCUUUGUUAGGUCAAGUGAAAAUGAGUUUUGCCUUUCCUAAUCGGCUGGUUACACGGUGAUCUCUGUGUCGGUUUUUGAAUGGAAAUACUAUUUAGCUAUGCUACA